UUCUAUAAAUAGGAACAUUGACAACUUUGUAUUUUGGGGGUUUUCAUUUGUGAAAUUGAUAUUUUCUUGAUUUGAUCACUCUUGUUUGUUGAUCUCAAGAACCCAAGAGUUGAAGCAUUCAACAUGGUAUCAGUUGUGUAGCUCCUUUUGGUGAUCUCCGAUCUCCUCAGCGUGCGUCUGUCGAUUUGAAGCAGUUCCUCGAUUUUUUUCUUCAGUCGAGUGGUUUUUUCUGUCCGCGUAUAUCCAUGUUGCAAUUUGUGCGAUUUCGUUUUGUCCGUGCUGCGAUUUGUGCGAUCGAUUUGUCCAUGCUGCGCGUUCGGCCGAUUUCGUUUUCCGGUCGCGUGUCUUUCAACGAUUUUCGACGUUCGAGCUUUCCGGCGAUCUAGCGUUCCAACGAUUGGCUUCCGCGAUUCUGCAACUCUUCUGCGAUCGUCGAUUUCCGGAUUUGCGUAUCCUUUGGCGAUCGGUGUGCGUUUGCGAUUGGAUUCCGCGAGUAACUUCGACGAUCGCUUUGCAUUUCAAUUUCUUUAAUUUAAUUCUUAUUUUCUUCCUGUUCUUUUAUUCCUUCAAUGUUUUAUUCGUUCAUUGUUUGUAUUUUUUAUUCAAAUCAUUUCUUGCAUUUACUGUUUAUUUUUACUUUAAUUUCAUAUAAGUAAUUGCAAAUUAUUUCAUUGGUAUUUUUUGGUUUCAUUGCAAGUUUCAUUGGUGAUUUGAUUUGAAUUUUGAUUAAUUAGUACAAAUUUAAUAAAUAAUUUAGGAAUUUUUUUUUUUUGAAGAAAUUGGUUUGUGAUUUCUCAAUUUCCACUUGUAAUUCCUUAGAUAUCAGUUCUUGAUAAUGAUUUACAGUGAAGGUUUCUCCUCCUUAUCCAACCAUUUUGAUGAACUUAUAAGUGUAAAGUUUUUCACUGAAUUAAGGCUCCUUUAAAGAGUGGUAGAACACAUUUUU
rnacentral:lncRNA from 1 species